rnacentral:rRNA from 1 species
GGACUACAGGGGUAUCUAAUCCUGUUUGCUACCCACGCUUUCGUACCUCAGUGUCAGUAAUGGUCCAGAGAGCCGUCUACACCACAGGCGUUCCUCCUGAUAUCUACGCAUUUCACCGCUACACCAGGAAUUCCGCUCUCCUCUCCCACACUCAAGCCUGCCAGUAUCUAACGCACCCUCCCAGUUAAGCCAGGAGAUUUCACAUCGGACUUAGCAAACCACCUACGUACUCUUUACGCCCAGUAAUUCCGAACAACGCUUGCUGCCUACGUAUUACCGCGGCUGCUGGCAC